AACAGGAUUAGAUACCCUGGUAGUCCACGCCCUAAACGAUGUCGACUGGUUGUUGGGGGUUUGACACUCUCAGUAACGAAGCUAACGCGUGAAGUCGACCGCCUGGGGAGUACGGCCGCAAGGUUAAAACUCAAAGGAAUUGACGGGGACCCGCACAAGCGGUGGAUUAUGUGGAUUAAUUCGAUGCAACGCGAAAAACCUUACCUACCCUUGACAUGUCCGAGAGCCUGGAGAGAUUCAGGUGUGCCCGAAAGGGAAUCGGAACACAGGUGCUGCAUGGCUGUCGUCAGCUCGUGUCGUGAGAUGUUGGGUUAAGUCCCGCAACGAGCGCAACCCUUGGCAUUAGUUGCUACAUUCAGUUGGGCACUCUAAUGAGACUGCCGGUGACAAACCGGAGGAAGGUGGGGAUGACGUCAAGUCCUCAUGGCCCUUAUGGGUAGGGCUUCACACGUAAUACAAUGGCGCGUACAGAGGGUUGCCAAGGAGCGAUCUGGAGCCAAUCCCGUAAAGCGCGUCGUAGUCCGGAUUGCAGUCUGCAACUCGACUGCAUGAAGUCGGAAUCGCUAGUAAUCGCGGAUCAGCAUGUCGCGGUGAAUACGUUCCCGGGUCUUGUACACACCGCCCGUCACACCAUGGGAGUGGGUUUCACCAGAAGCCGGUCGCCUAACCGCAAGGGGGGCGCCGACCACGGUGAGAUUCAUGACUGGGGUGAAGUCGUAACAAGGUAACC
rnacentral:rRNA from 1 species